UACGUAGGGGGCAAGCGUUGUCCGGAAUCAUUGGGCGUAAAGAGCGUGUAGGCGGCUCGGUAAGUCCGCUGUAAAAGUCCAGGGCUCAACCCUGGAAAGCCGGUGGAAACUGUCGAGCUAGAGUCCGGAAGAGGCGAGUGGAAUUCCUGGUGUAGCGGUGAAAUGCGCAGAUAUCAGGAGGAACACCGGUGGCGAAGGCGGCCUACUGGGCCAUCACUGACGCUGAGGCGCGAAAGCGUGGGGAGCGAACCGG
rnacentral:rRNA from 1 species